UUAAGCUGGUGUAGCAGAAGCAGAUAGUAUCUCAUAAAGGAUAUAGAUUAAUCUCUCCUUCCGAUCCAACACAUUUUGAAUCGUGCUUAUUUAAUUGAGCUUGUCUAAUACAAUUUAGAUUGUUCGGAGAAGUCAUGAUGACUUAAUAAAUGGUAUAAAGUAUGUUUUGUGAUAGAGGGGACAAGGCGUUGGGGAUAAAUACUCCACCGUAUAAAACGGAGAAGCAGGCCCCUAUAUACUCUGUCUUAAGGUCUACACCUAUCCCCUGCCUUUCACCCCCCUCCCCCCCACAAUAACACAUUCAAAAGCACCAUUUAUUAGAAUGAAAUCAUCAUUGUAAUAAUCAUCAUGCUGUUUUCAUCUACUCCACUAACAUCUUUUUAUUUUUAACAACUCAUCCUAUUUCAAUUUCCAAAUCAAUAUUUCAGUAAAUUUUAUAAUUGCUGAAUCAAUAGAUGGAUCAGAAGGAGUAGCUUCCAGAUUUGAGGGGAAUGUUGUUUGGCUCGAAGUCAUUAUCUCAUUAUAGAUCGAACCAAUCCAAUUUUAUAUAUUCAAUCUAGUUUAAAAUAUAUGUGAAUUACGAUGAUGAUGAGAUAGUGUCUUCGGACCAGGCUUCAUUCCCCCCAAUUUGGAAACAAAAAUUACAUUCCGUAAUUCUCUCUCCGUCUCUGAGGAUAUUUCUUGAGAAGAUGAGUUAACGUCACAAGUGAUGAAAGAGUUGAAACGAUUAUUGAAAAAUUUAGGUUACCUUGCACAAAGUAAGUGUAAGAUUGACAUAUACGCUCACUCUUCUCAAAUUACACUUAUGAAAUUAUAUUAGACAGUUGUUAGUGAUCAUCGAUAGUUAAGUCUUAGUUUUUCUGGUGUCUACCAGCAAUAAUUAAAUUCUAUGAGCUGUAAUUUGCAUUUCGUAUGCACAUGGUAUAGAUAGAUUGUAUAUCACUACAUAUAUUAAAAUCGUGUAAAUUGUAGUG